rnacentral:rRNA from 1 species
UACGUAGGGUGCGAGCGUUAAUCGGAAUUACUGGGCGUAAAGCGUGCGCAGGCGGCGCGUUAAGACAGGUGUGAAAGCCCCGAGCUUAACUUGGGAAUUGCGCUUGUGACUGGCGUGCUGGAGUGUGGCAGAGGGAGGUGGAAUUCCACGUGUAGCAGUGAAAUGCGUAGAGAUGUGGAGGAACACCGAUGGCGAAGGCAGCCUCCUGGGCCAGCACUGACGCUCAUGCACGAAAGCGUGGGGAGCGAAAC